CCUACGGGUGGCUGCAGUGGGGAAUAUUGGACAAUGGGCGAAAGUCUGAUCCAGCCAUGCCGCGUGUGUGAAGAAGGCCUUCGGGUUGUAAAGCACUUUCAGUGGGGAAGAAAGCCUUGGGGCUAAUACCCUCGAGGAAGGACAUCACCCACAGAAGAAGCACCGGCUAACUCCGUGCCAGCAGCCGCGGUAAUACGGAGGGUGCGAGCGUUAAUCGGAAUUACUGGGCGUAAAGCGAGCGUAGGCGGUCUGAUAAGCCGGUUGCGAAAGCCCCGGGCUCAACCUGGGAACGGCAUCCGGAACUGUCAGGCUAGAGUGCAGGAGAGGAAGGUAGAAUUCCCGGUGUAGCGGUGAAAUGCGUAGAGAUCGGGAGGAAUACCAGUGGCGAAGGCGGCCUUCUGGACUGACACUGACGCUGAGGUGCGAAAGCGUGGGUAGCAAACAGGAUUAGAUACCCGAGUAGUC
rnacentral:rRNA from 1 species